rnacentral:lncRNA from 1 species
CUAUCCUCCUGGCCAAAGAAACAACAAGUCUUCUGGUCCUUCGACUGGAUAUCCUCCAUCAUUUGGCUUUGCACCAAGAGGACAAAACAACUAUCAACAACCGAGACCGUACAGGCUCAGAAUAACUUCGUACCUCAGCAAUAAUAAUACAACAAUCCUAAUGUUGCUGUGAAUGUUCUCACUGAGCAAACAAUAUAAGCUUCGGGUCAAAUGGAUAGAGGACAGCUACAAUCUCUUAUUCAUCAGCUACAGGUUUUCAUGACACCAAUUGUGAAUGUUGUGACUACUCAAUAAUCUACGGUCAGUGAAAAUGGAUACAUGGCUGCUCAAUCUUCAGCUGGUAAUGUCUCU